AGGGCCUCAUCUGACUCUGGGUCAGUAGAUAAAGGGCCUCAUCUGACUCUGGGUCAGUAGAUAAAGGGCCUCAUCUGACUCUGGGUCAGUAGAUAAAGGGCCUCAUCUGACUCUGGGUCAGUAGAUAAAGGGCCUCAUCUGACUCUGGGUCAGUAGAUGAAGGGCCUCAUCUGACUCUGGGUCAGUAGAUAAAGGGCCUCGUCUGACUCUGGGUCAGUAGAUAAAGGGCCUCAUCUGACUCUGGGUCAGUAGAUAAAGGGCCUCGUCUGACUCUGGGUCAGUAGAUAAAGGGCCUCAUCUGACUCUGGGUCAGUAGAUAAAGGGCUUCAUCUGACUCUGGGUCAGUAGAUAAAGGGCCUCAUCUGACUCUGGGUCAGUAGAUAAAGGGCCUCAUCUGACUCUGGGUCAGUAGAUAAAGGGCUUCAUCUGACUCUGGGUCAGUAGAUAAAGGGCCUCAUCUGACUCUGGGUCAGUAGAUAAAUAACACAACAGCUGUGUGAGCUCUAGUAGGAUCAGGAGUUUAUCCUGACCUGAACUUCCUCUAUAACAGAGGUCAGGUUACUUACAUAAGACACUUAAAAUAUAUCUAGUUUGUCCUACUCUAUAUUUAAGCAGUAGUUGCUUAUCCUAAUAUAUAUAUAUAUAUAUGUGUGUGUGUGUGUGUGUGUGUGUGUGUGUGUGUGUGUGUGUGUGUGUGUGUGUGUGUGUGUGUGUG